GAUGAACGCUGACAGCAUGCUUAACACAUGCCAGUCUUUGGCGAAGCUGUGCUUGCACCGCCUAGCCAAGGCGGACGGGUGAGUAACGCGUAAGGAACUUGCCCUGCAGUCAGGGAUAACAGACGGAAACGACUGAUAAGACCUGGUAAAGUCAGGCGGACUCAUGUCCAGCCUGAUGAAAAGAGAUGCUGCAGGAGAGCCUUGCGUCCUAUUAGCUUGUUGGUGGGGUAACGGCCCACCAAGGCGAUGAUAGGUAGCCGGCCUGAGAGGGUGGACGGCCACAAGGGGACUGAGAUACGGCCCUUACUCCUACGGGAGGCAGCAGUGGGGAAUAUUGGACAAUGGGGGCAACCCUGAUCCAGAAAUUCUGUGUGAACGAUGAAGGUUUUCGGAGUGUAAAGGGCUUUCAGGGGGGAAGAAAAAAAUGACGGUACCUGCAGAAGAAGCGACGGCUAAAUACGUG
rnacentral:rRNA from 1 species